UGUUUAAUGAAUGGCCGCGGUUUUUGACCGUGCGAAGGUAGCAUAAUAAAUAGUCCAUUAAAUAUGGUCUGGAAUGAAUGGUUUAACGAGGAUUAACUUUUUUGAUUUUAUUUUUGAAUUUUAAUUAUUAGUGAAAAUGCUAAUAUGAUUAAGGGGGACGAGAAGACCCUAUAGAACUUUAUAUGUUCAAAAUAUGUGGUGGUAAUAAUAUUUUUAUUAUAUUUUGUUGGGGCGACAGUAAAUUAGAAUCAUUUACUUUUUAGUUUAUUAUUAUAAGUUUUUGAUCCAUUAAUAGUGAUUAUUAGACCUAGUUACCUUAGGGAUAACAGCGUAAUUUUAUUUUAGAGUUCUUAUCGAUAAUAAAGUUUGCGACCUCGAUGUUGGAUUAGGAUUCUUUUAGGGUGCAGCCACUCUAAAAAGUAGUCUGUUCGACUAUUUAAUUCUUACAUGAUCUGAGUUCAAACCGGAGA
rnacentral:rRNA from 1 species